UCUUGGUCAUUUAGAGGAAGUAAAAGUCGUAACAAGGUUUCCGUAGGUGAACCUGCGGAAGGAUCAUUAUUGAUAGUUUUUAUUAUCAAAAACCCCUUUGUUUAUCAUUUACCAUGUUGCUUCCAUUGGACAGACCGGCAUUGUGUAUACAAGUUGGUCCUCUAGUUUUGUGUUUAUUUGUCACUAGCUAGGGAGCUGCCAGUGGAUAAAAUCCCAAUAAAACAUUCAUGAAGAAACAUAUAUUGUCUGAUUUAUUAGUACAAAAAAUAAAACUUUCAACAACGGAUCUCUAGGCUCUUGCAUCGAUGAAGAACGCAGUGAAAUGCGAUAAGUAAUGUGAAUUGCAGAAUCUCGUGAAUCAUCGAAUCUUUGAACGCACAUUGCGCCCUAUGGAAUUCUGUAGGGCAUGCCUGUCUGAGCGUCAGCAGCAAAAAAAUCAAAAUCUUUGUAGGUAAAGAUUUGGAUUUGGUUAAGAGAUGUAAUCUGUAAAGAACCGGUUACUCUUUUGAAAUUUAAAGGCAGUAUUGAUCAAUCCAACUGUAAACGUGAUAAAACAUUUCGUUUUAUUGUUGAGAAUGAGCUUUUUGCUUGCCUAUAUACCCACUCAUCUUCAUGGGUGACCUCAGAUCAGGUAGGG
rnacentral:rRNA from 1 species